AUUGAACGCUGGCGGCAGGCCUAACACAUGCAAGUCGAACGAGUGGCGGACGGGUGAGUAAUGCUUGGGAAUCUAACUUAUGGAGGGGGAUAACUACGGGAAACGGUAGCUAAAAACGCGUACCCUAGGAUGAGCCCAAGUGGGAUUGGGUAGUUGGUGAGGUAAAGGCUCACCAAGACGACGAGCCCUAGCUGGUCUGAGAGGAUGACCAGCCACACUGGAACUGAGACACGGCCCAGACUCCUACGGGAGGCAGAAGUGGGGAAUAUUGCGCAAUGGGGGCAACCUGACGCAGCCAUGCCGCGUGUAUGAAGAAGGCCUUCGGGUUGUAAAGUACUUUCGGAAGCGAGGCGUUAACUACAGAAGAAGCACCGGCUAACUCCGUGCCAGCAGCCGCGGUAAUUC
rnacentral:rRNA from 1 species